rnacentral:piRNA from 1 species
UCAUUAGUGACAUUUUUCUUGCUGGUGU